rnacentral:tRNA from 1 species
AAUGAAGUGCCUGAAUAAAAGGGUUAUUAUGAUAUAAUAAAUCAUGUUUUAAUUGACCUUCAUUU